UUUCCGGUUGAUCCUGCCGGACCGGACUGCUAUCGGAGUGGGCCUAAGCCAUGCGAGUCGAACGCCCCGGGCUGGCGGGGCGUGGCGUACGGCUCAGUAGCACGUGGUCAACCUACCCUGCGGACGGCUAUAACCCCGGGAAACUGGGGCUAAUAGCCGAUAGGGGAUUGGUGCUGGAAGGCCCUUUCCCUGAAAGGCCUAGUCGCCCAUGCCGCGGCUAGGCGCCGCAGGAUGGGACUGCGCCCCAUCAGGUAGACGGUGGGGUAACGGCCCACCGUGCCGAUAACGGGUGCGGGCCCCGGGAGGGGGAGCCCGGAGAUGGCCACUGAGACAAGGGGCCAGGCCCUACGGGGCGCAGCAGGCGCGAAACCUCCGCUAUGCGCGAAAGCGCGACGGGGUCACUCCGAGUGCCGCCUGCAGAGGGCGGCUUUUGCCCAGUCCAAAAGGCUGGGCGAAUAAGGGGAGGGCAAGUUUGGUGUCAGCCGCCGCGGUAACACCAACUCCCCGAGUGGUCCGGACGAUUAUUGGGCUUAAAGCGUCCGUAGCCGGCCUAGUAAGUCUCCGGUUAAAUCCGGCGUCUCAAGCGCCGGGCUGCCGGAGAUACUGCUAGGCUAGGGAGCGGGAGAGGCGGGCGGUAUUCCCUGGGUAGGGGUAAAAUCCUAAGAUCCAGGGAGGACCAUCGGUGGCGAAGGCGGCCCGCUAGAACGCGUCCGACGGUGAGGGACGAAAGCUGGGGGAGCGAUCCGGAUUAGAUACCCGGGUAGUCCCAGCCGUAAACGAUGCAGGCUAGGUGUGUGGGCGUCUUAGGGGCGCCCAUGUGCCGAAGGGAAACCGUUAAGCCUGCCGCCUGGGGAGUACGGCCGCAAGGCUGAAACUUAAAGGAAUUGGCGGGGGAGCACCACAAGGGGUGGAGCCUGCGGUUCAAUUGGAGUCAACGCCGGGA
rnacentral:rRNA from 1 species